GAUGAACGCUGGCGGCGUGCCUAAUACAUGCAAGUCGAGCGAACGGACGAGAAGCUUGCUCCUCUGAUGUUAGCGGCGGACGGGUGAGUAACACGUGGAUAACCUACCUAUAAGACUGGGAUAACUUCGGGAAACCGUAGCUAAUACCGGAUAAUAUUUUGAACCGCAUGGUUCAAAAGUGAAAGACGGUCUUGCUGUCACUUAUAGAUGGAUCCGCGCUGCAUUAGCUAGUUGGUAAGGUAACGGCUUACCAAGGCAACGAUGCAUAGCCGACCUGAGAGGGUGAUCGGCCACACUGGAACUGAGACACGGUCCAGACUCCUACGGGAGGCAGCAGUAGGGAAUCUUCCGCAAUGGGCGAAAGCCUGACGGAGCAACGCCGCGUGAGUGAUGAAGGUCUUCGGAUCGUAAAACUCUGUUAUUAGGGAAGAACAAAUGUGUAAGUAACUGUGCACGUCUUGACGGUACCUAAUCAGAAAGCCACGGCUAACUACGUG
rnacentral:rRNA from 1 species